AUGAGCUUUUAUAGCCUCCAUGAAACGCUGCACACGGAAAUCGCCAAAUACCAAUCCAGGUUCUAUUGGGCUGGCGACGAUGACAAACAGAAGUACCACAUGGUGAGUUGGCCGGACAUUUGUAAACCCAAAGACCAGGGGGGUCUUGGGAUUCUGUCCUCCCGCCGCAUGAACAUCGCCCUCCUGACCCGGUGGCUGUGGCGUAUUGCCAAUGGUGACGGAGGGUUAUGGCUCACCAUUAUC
rnacentral:rRNA from 1 species